UACGAAGGGGGCUAGCGUUGCUCGGAAUCACUGGGCGUAAGCGCACGUAGGCGGAUUGUUAAGUCGGGGGUGAAAUCCUGGAGCUCAACUCCAGAACUGCCUUCGAUACUGGCGAUCUUGAGUCCGGGAGAGGUGAGUGGAACUCCGAGUGUAGAGGUGAAAUUCGUAGAUAUUCGGAAGAACACCAGUGGCGAAGGCGGCUCACUGGCCCGGUACUGACGCUGAGGUGCGAAAGCGUGGGGAGCAAACAGG
rnacentral:rRNA from 1 species